GACGAACCGUGCGAACGUUGUUCGGAUUCACUGGGCUUAAAGGGCGCGUAGGCGGGCCGGACGGUCCGCGGUGAAAUCCCCCCGCUCAACGGGGGAACGGCCGCGGAUACCGCCGGCCUCGAGGGGGGUAGGGGCGAGCGGAACGCUGGGUGGAGCGGUGAAAUGCGUUGAUAUCCAGCGGAACUCCGGUGGCGAAGGCGGCUCGCUGGACCCCCACUGACGCUGAGGCGCGAAAGCCAGGGGAGCGAACGGG
rnacentral:rRNA from 1 species